UCCCUGGUGGCGCAGUGGUUGCGAGUCCACCUGCCGAUGCAGGGGACACGGGUUCGUGCCCUGGUCCGGGAAGAUCCCACAUGCCGCGGAGCGGCUGUGCGCAUGAGCCGUGGCUGCUGAGCCUGCGCGUCCGGAGCCUGUUGUUCCACAACGGGAGAGGCCACAACAGAGAGAGGCCCGCGUACCGCAAAAAAAAAAAGCAGCACAAAAACAACAACAACAAAAACCCGGUACUUUUCUAAUGUUGUACGUCCCUUAUGUUUUUAGCAGAUAAUUUACUAAUUAAAGUGAGUUAUACUUGUAAAUUGUUCUCAUCUCUACUCAGAAGGAGGUACACCUAGAUACUAAGCCUGCUUCCACCAAGAGCAUUGUUUCCUUCUUGUGCAACCUCUGAAUUCUUGCAAGGAGUACUUUAUUCAUUUGUCAGUUUCACAAGUAAUUAUUUUAAUACCUAUUGUGUGCCAGAUACGUGUUUAAGCACUAGGGAUAAAGCAGCGAACCAGACACACAAAAGUCUUGCCCUCAUGGAGCUUACAUUCUAGUGAAGGAGUUCAGAUAGAAAUGAGUAAACAGAUAAGUAAUGUAAUUUUAGAUAGUAGGAGGUGCAAAAAUAUGUUAAUGUAAAGAGAGUGAGCGGGGGCAGGUAGGACUCCAUUGGACAGGUUUGUUAGGGGGCAGCUUCACUGGAGAAGUGGCAUUUGAAUGGAGACCUGAAUGAAGAGAGGAGCAAGCCAUGGAAAAUCUGGGAUCAUUGUGUGAUGAAAGCAGUUAUCCAAAAAGUUCUCCAGAUGGAAGGAGUGCCAAGUCAGAGUACCAGUGGAUAACUUCUCCAUCGUGAAGGAACCAUCCAAAGCUGCUAGACAGAAAAAGAGAACUCUAAUUUGGGGAAGUGAUCGAAAAGGAAAAGCUACGAUUAGAGUUGGUAACUCUUUCUGAACUUAUACCCCUUAUGUUUUUUGGUGUGCUAAAAUUAAAGCAGCCAAUAUUAACCACAUGCAUAUUAGGAAGCCUAUGAUUAUUUUGAGACUUAUGAGAAUUUAUAGAAUAUAGAUAUAAUAAAUGAAUUUAAAGAGAUGUUAAUAUUAACCAACAUUAUUGUUUGGAUCUCAUAAAAACUUUGUUAUUUUGAAAAUAUUUCCUGGUUGAUAAUUACUUCUGACACUUUGCAAUUGUAAUUUGGGGUGCACUUUGAUGAUAAUUUUAGUAGUGGUGCUUUUGAGGAAUGAUUUUUUUAAAAUGCAGAAUUACCUUUUGCGCUACAAGAAACAAAAUUUCUUCUCAGUUCCAACCUUCCCAUUGUUUCCUGCUUCUUUCUUAGAAAUGCUUACCUAAAUUUUUGAAUCAGGUAAUAUCUUGUUUCUGUGAAUGAUUAAAAAAACUUGAAAUAUGUAUGAUCCUUAUAAAAGACUUCUACAGACAAGUUUAUUUACCUAGAUUGAACAUUUUAGAAAACCAUUUUCUAAAUGUUUACUGUAAUGUAUAUUUAAUUUUCCAAAUGGUAGUUAACCCAGGAUUUUACAACUAAGCCUAUUAUUUUGUUACGAAAUGUAACUGUAAUAGAAAGCUUUUAAAAGCCUUUAACAAUCAGUGGUGUAAGUUUCACAUUCUCCUGAAUAUAUAAAUUUCCUAGAAUUCACUUCUACUGAUAACGUUUGUAUUGUUUCUAAGAGACCUUAACUUUUUAUUUUCUGGAACAUAUUAUGGUUAGUCACAAAUUGUCCUUUUUUGUUGGUGAUAAGAAUGAACAGCAGGAGCAGCAUUUGUGAAACCAAAUCUAAUAUGAAACUGACUCUUUCUUGUGAGUAACUUUGAAUUUUGAAACAGCAGAACAAUAAGGUUGAAUAUAAAGCAAAAUAAAUUUUUUUAUGUUUAUGAUCUGCCAAUUUCCCAGAAAGAGUUUUGUGGUGACUUUAGUUAUAUACCAGAUACAUUAAAAUCACCAAUGGACAACACAUCUUUUAUUCAGGUGCCCUCUGAAAGUUUUAAAAAUUUGUUGACUUAAUAUCACUGCACGUUCCACUUCAAAAUGGUUAAAAUGAUAAAUUUUCUGUUUUGUGUAGUUUACCACAAUUUUUUUUAAAUGUGUUGUUUGAAGAUUUGGGGGUUUUUAUAAAGGUAUUGUAUUAGCAUAAGAAUGAAAAAUUUAAAAGACCACCUCUAAUUCCAUUAUCCUAUCAAGCAAUAUUUACAUUUUUAUUUUCUCUUCCUGCUGUCCAUAAACAUAAUUCCACGUAGCUUCAAUAUAAUUUGCCAUUCUUCUCUUUUCAUACUAAAUUUAAAUUCUAUGAUUCAUAGUUAUACUUUUUAACAUUGUAUUUACAAGGUUUUAAUUGAGUUGGUCAAUUUUUUAAAUUGGUGAAAAACUGGAAAUAACCUAAAAUAAACUAUUGUAAACACCUUCAUAAAUACAGCUUUUUUUUUUCUACUUAAAGAUGUGUUUUUGUUUUUGUUUCUUAUGGUACGGGGCCUCUCACUGUUGUGGCCUACUCCCGUUGCGGAGCACAGGCUCCGGACCCACAGGCUCAGCGGCCAUGGCUCACGGGCCCAGCCGCUCCAUGGCAUGUGGGAUCUUCCCGGACCGGGGCACGAACCCGUGUCCCCUGCAUCGGCAGGCGGACUCUCAACCGCCUCUCAACUCUCAAUCCAGGUUUUUGAUUCUCUAUUAAUCAACUUGCUUGGACAAUAGCGUAUUAAAUAGAAGUUGUUAAGAGUGUUUAUGAAGUCAAAAGCUUAUGAUCGUCUGCCAAUUGUUAUUUCAAGAGAGUGAUAUUUUAAUAAUGAAAUAGUACAUACAAAGAAGUUAAGAUUUGUGGUAUCACACUAAUUAGAUAUUAUUAUUAAAAAUUUAUAUCACAUGUAAAGUAUUCUUAAAAUAGCUAAGUUGACUUUUGCUAUGAUAUUAGAAAUGGAAAUAUAUAUAAAUAAAGCAUGUAUAUUAGAAAUUCUGUAAAAUUAGUACCUGGCGGUACAUAAAAGGGCAUCAUGGAAUGAGAAGAAAACAGUUAAACUUUUUUUUUAUUUAGCAUGAUUCAACAAAGUGGAAAUGUAACUGAAAUAUACAAACUCAUUGAGCUAUUUUAAGAGUAAUUUUAUUUCUUGGGCUUUUUUUUUGUAUUUGCCUCAGUUAUUUGGAGAUAUAGAGGUAAGCCAAAUCAGUAUCUGGCGCUAUACCUAGAUCCAGGUGAGUAUAGGGGUGAAAUAAUGGUGUGAAUGGUGUCACAUUUAUAUUGUAAUUAUGUAUGCCUAAAAAAAGAUGGGAACUUUUAUUAGAAAUUUUUUUUAUCUCCUAACAAGAAAAGUGUAAUUUAAAAAAAUUUUAAUACAAAUGUAUUUGCAUUCGUUUCUGAAAGUAAAGGAAGGGUAUACACAUACAAACCACAUGCAUACAAACAUUUUUUUUGACGGUAAUUAAGUUAAAAAACACAAUAAAAUAGCACAAAAUGAACUGAGCUCCUGUAUAUUUUUAAGAGGCAUGUAAAUCACACAGGAUCGUGUGGUGAUUAUCAAUAAGCUACACUCUAUGAAAUAUUUGUCCUAUAUUACCACAUACACUCCAUUUUACCCUGCAUCCUAAUGCUGCUAAAAUAUAGUAGAAAGCAACAGCAUAGCACAGGGAGAUCAGCUCGGUGCUUUGCGAUGACCUAGAGGGGUGGGAUAGGGAGGGUGGGAGGGAGGCUCAAGAGGGAGGGGAUAUGGGGACAUGUGUAUGCAUAUGGCUGAUUCGCUUUGUUGUGUAACAGAAACUAACACAGAAUUGUGAAGCGAUUAUACUCCAAUAAAGAUCUAUUAAAAUAAAUAAAUAAAAUAACACAAAAUAUAGUAGCUUUGAAGGAUAAAUAUAACCCUUUUAACCUAUGAUGUUUGUUUUCAGUAAGUUCAAAUUAAAUAUUUAAAUGUGAAUUUUAAUAUGUGGCUUGUUCUAAAUAAAAUAUUAACACGUAGGUCUAGUUUUUGCAACCAAAUAUUCCAUAUAAAGAUACUUGCCUCUUUACUACUGAAAUAUAGGAUAAGUCUCCACAUUUCACUCUUUUAUCCCGUGGGUUUCAUUUGUUUUUUUGUGUAUUUUCUAUAUGAAAUCAAAGGAGCAGUGAAGGUUGACAGGCUUAUAGGAGAGUAACAUUGACUCACCUACCACCCAGCAACUUGCAGCCUUAUAACUUUUACUGUCUUUACAUAGAAAAAUUCAUCUUAAAUUGAAAUUUUGGUCUAAUUCUGAAGAUUCUGUUUGGCAGAAGUCAUGGGUGUAUCUGUGCUUGUGUGUCCUUGAGAUUCAGAAAUGCCAAAGGUGUUCUAAGAUUCAGUAAACUUGAGUGUUUCUGCAUAAUACAUAAAAUGUAUCAUACUUUGGGAUUAUUUUAAAAAUUUAUUUUUGCAUUUCUGCACAUCUCAAUACUUUUGUUUUAGUUAAAAUAACUUGUUACUGUAGAGAACUUAUAUUUUUUAAAAAUGCUGGCUUAUGUAAAACCUCUGUACAAAACGAUCCUCUUUUUUUUAAUGACCUUGGCAUCAUUGUCAAGUGCCUGGUUGAUUCCUUUCAAAGUGUACACGUGUGACAGUUUCUCUGUAGGCCUUUGGUGCAUCUUGAUUCCUUCUUUUCAUGCUUUGUCAAACAUAGGCUUGGCUGCAAAGCAACCUGUAAGUAAUGGAAUGAAACACUCUGCUGGUAAAGAAUGUUAUGGUCCUGAACCUCUACCACCUGGUGUGUCUGGUUUCUGGCCGUGGCAUACUGCAGAACGUGGAAAAAGUAUAGACAUUUUGAAGACUUUUCUUACAGAAUCUUGGCUUAAUCUGAUAGGAGAAUAACCACAUUUUGUUUUAUUUUGUAUUCAUUUGAUUUACUGGUAAGGUUUACUGGCUGUUUGUAUUCAUUUGGCUAGUUGGUUCAUUACACCGUGUAUCCAUUCUUCUGCAGUGAGAGUUUGUAGGGGUUGUAUCAUAUCCUGUCAGAUCCAUAUGUCUGACUUGCUAUUUCUGUAUGUCAUGGGGUGUUGAAAGACUCCAGUUAUUUUAAUGUGAUGGUCCACUCAACACUUAAAUAAAUGACUCAUGAUAGUUUCCUUUCAUGUAAUAGUUUUUAAUACCUGUGCUUUUGUUUAAAUGAGUAGGUUGUUCAGCCCCAGAACUACUAGAAGUCAUGAUCAUUCGUUCUGGUUUUUGUCUGACGUUUUACCGCGAGAGUUCUUGGCCAUCAUACUUUCAUGAUAGGUUUUUAGUAUGUAUUCUCUAUUCACACAUAGUUUGAAUUUGUUAUUAUUUGUGUCCUAGAUAACGGUACGUUUGGGCUUCCCUGGUGGCGCAGUGGUUGAGAGUCCACCUGCCGAUGCAGGAGACACGGGUUCGUGCCCCGGUCCGGGAAGUCCCACAUGCCGCAGAGCGGCUGUGCCCGUGAGCCAUGGCCGCUGAGCCUGCGCGUCCGGAGCCUGUUGCUCCGCAACGGGAGAGGCCACAACAGUAAGAGGCCCGCGUACUGGGAAAACAAAAUAUUAUUCUCACAUUUCAGUUAUUUUUGAGAGCAUAUGAUCUAUAUCUGUUUUAUAUAGACAGAGAGAUGCUUGAUAAAAAUCCAUGGAAAUGUGUGCUAGAAUCCAGAAAUCCCUGAAGAAUCUACUCAGCUAACAUAUAGCAAUAUUUUCUUACAGGAAUAUUUUGUUCAAGUUUAUGCAUUAUAAGUACAGAAAAAAGGUAAUAAACUGGACUUUUGAAUGAAAAGAUUAGCAGAAAAACAAAUUUUAGUUAAAUCAUAUCAUAAGGAAAUGGAAUAAUAAUUCCAAAAUAUUUUUAUAAAGGAGGUUUAUUAAAAAUUAACAUAAUGUACAUAUAUGUAUUGUAUCCCUAUUCUGAUUUUUAAACUUUAAGUCCACAAAUAACAGAAGGUUUUGUUCUUUUAGGAUAUUAAAACACUGAGAAAAAAUGAAAUUAUCCUUUUGCAACAAACAGAAAAUAUUAUGCCAAAUCUCAUAUCUAAAGUUUUUAUCUUUAUAAAUGUGUUUUGUUGCAAUAUCAUUUGUGGAAUAAGUAACUUUAUAAAGAUUAGUUUACAUGCCAAAUCUGAUAAGACACCAUAAGUAAGAAUAUAAAACAUUUUGAUAAUAUUCUGUGUAAGAACUAUAGAUAUGAAAAUAUUCUAUGAUAUUAAUAAUCAUAUUCAUUAUUUGGCCUUAUGCUGUUUGGUUUAUUUUUUGGCAUUAUGCUAUUUGGACAACUGGCUUGAAGACUGGGGGGAAAAUGAAAAAUUUUUGUUCUAUUUCUAAUUGUAAUCUUUACAGGAUACUUGUUUUAAAUAGACAAUUUGUUAUGUGUUUGCAAUAAUAUUUAUACCACUUGCAAUCAUUCAAUUGAAGUACUAUUAUUUUAUUACUUUUUAAAAGAAUAUAUUUAGCAAAUAUUCCCAGAGCAUCAAUUUUAAUAUUCUUAUAGAUGAACAUAAAAAAUGGGAAGGAUUGUUUUCCAUGACUAUUUGGUGGUCCAAAUAUUUUUCUUUUGAGUACAUUUUAUAUUUCUUUUUCUUAAGAAGAAUGACAUUUUAUUAAAUAUUGACAAUAAAAAAUAUUUUAUUUUUAAAUAAAAUCUUUCUUUUUCAAUCAUAUGCUUUCUUUCAAACAAUUAGUUUGCACCACUGAAAGGACAUCUUCACAUGUGUUUCUGGGAAAUGUUGCAUUUAUCUCUUGGGUUACAUUACUCUGUAUGAAAAAGUUAAGGAUUUGGAAAUUUAUUUUACUUCUUUAUUAUCCUUUACUAGAAAAGAACUUUUUGAUUCAAAGAUGAAAUUUUUCUGGAAAUCCCAUGGGAGUAUUAAGUUACCUUGGACUAAACUGAAUCAUCAGCGAUCAUCUUAGCUGUCAAUGACCUAUAGAUGACAUAUUUAUCUAAUUAAAAGAUGUCUUAUUUUGAAAGAAACGGUGCAUUGUGCAUAAUUAGAAAAUUGGAUUCAUUGGCUUAUUAAUCUAAUGAAGCUAGCCUAUGUCAUUUAUAUUACUAUGUGGAGAAGUUGUUUUAUUUGCAAUUAACAAUGCUGUAUAUGAAAUGUUAAUUCUUGAUAAAGAACAUAAAAAUUAAGCACAUCAUACUUUUUCAGAGGAAAUUUCAGUUCUUUGCUAUAUACCCCUGUCACUUAUUUCCGUUACUAGAGUAUGAAACACUUGUAUACUGUUUUUCACUAACCAGUCCCUUAGACUUGCACACCAGCCAUCCAUUCAUCCUAUUCUAUCCCUGUUACAGAGAUAAACAUGCAUCCCCUCCUCAGCAGUGAUGUUGGUUCAAGCUGUAGGCAUACGAUAUGAUCCAAGUAUGUCUGUGUCCUUUCCUAGGAAUUUUCAAAUUGUUUUGAGGAUGAAGUUGUUCCUUUUCCUCUUUGAUCACAGAACUCUAAGAAUAUAAACCUAGGAAAUAGCCAGCCAUGAAUCCAGCUGACUUGAGAUCAUAAAACCAUCAGCGAAAAACAGAGAUAAGAGAAUAAAAAGUCACUGAUUUCAUUAAAAACUUCGGGCUAGCCACUUCUGAAAUCAUGUUUUGUUUUUCUUUUUUGUUUAAUUAAGAAAUAUAAUUGCCUUCUGUUGUUUUGGCUUCUUAGAAGUGAAUUUCCAUUAGUUGCAAUUGAAAGAGGCCCAACUAUACAAGAUAUAUUUGAUUUUUAUACAAAUUCAAAAAAAUGAUGCAGAAUAAAGUAAGUGAAGAUAAAAACAAAUAGAGAAUAGCAUUGUAUUGUAAGUUAAUCUUAAAUAACCUUAUUGUAUAGAAAGUUUAUUAUUAUUUUUACUUCCAUUAUGUGGAAGAUUCUUUGGUAUCUGUGAAAAUUUGUGGCACAUGAAACUAUGUAUUAGAGAGGAUUGAAACUCAAUUUCAUUUGCUUCAAGCCUAUAUGUAUUGUAUAUAAUUAGGUUAGGGUUUAUAUAUAUAUACAUAUAUAUAUAUAUGUGUAUAUAUAUAUAUAUAUAUAUGCCAAAGAAAAUACAUAGAUGGUUUUAAACCACAGGCAUUCACUUAAUAUUAUAUUAAUUAGGGUUACCUUUCGCACAAAAUGGUUAUUUAGCAUUUUCAGUCUUAACCUACUUAUUGUGAAUGGUAGACUCAUAGCUGGAACAUGUUUAUUUGAUAGUGCUUAUAAAACCUGAAAUGAAGAAAAAUUGAAUAUGUUAUCAAUCUGCACAGCAAAACAUCAACAGCAAUUUGGACUCAUUUAAUGUAGGGACAAACCACUUUAUAUGAAUCAAAGAACACACACCAUUAAAAAAUAAUAUCAUUGAACUAUGACUAGAAUAAAUGGAAAGUAACAUUGUAUCAUAUUUUUAAAAGUAUUUUUAACUAAGAUAAUUUUAAUUAGAAAUAAUUAAAACAAAGUUGAGCCUUAAAUGUGCAAUUUCAGAUAUUUGCAGAAUGAAUAUACGUGGAAAACAUCAUUCCUAGAAUAAACAAAUGUGUGUACAGUUAAUGAGAUGGCGUUUCUGAGAUGAAUAUGUUCCGAUGUAAUCAUUAUAGAAAUAACCAAAAAUGAUUGUAAAAUACCAUAAUUACCCCUACAAAUAAAUCAUAGAAAACUUCAGGCUUCAAGUUUGUUCAGGCUCAAAAUUCACAAAGUGUGUGACCUCUGUCAAUUUUCUUAACUAGUCUAAACCUCAGUUUUCUGUUGGAAUGAUAAUAGUAUCUCCUUUACAGGGAGAUACAAGAAUACCAUUUGGCAAUGUGUGAAAACAGGCACAAUUUAUAUUGCAUGACAAAUUAUUUAUUAAAUCUCAGCUCCUAUUACCAGUUUUU